UAACAGAAAGCAGCUUGCUGCUUUGCUGACGAGUGGCGGACGGGUGAGUAAUGUCUGGGAAACUGCCUGAUGGAGGGGGAUAACUACUGGAAACGGUAGCUAAUACCGCAUAACGUCGCAAGACCAAAGAGGGGGACCUUANGGCCUCUUGCCAUCGGAUGUGCCCAGAUGGGAUUAGCUAGUAGGUGGGGUAACGGCUCACCUAGGCGACGAUCCCUAGCUGGUCUGAGAGGAUGACCAGCCACACUGGAACUGAGACACGGUCCAGACUCCUACGGGAGGCAGCAGUGGGGAAUAUUGCACAAUGGGCGCAAGCCUGAUGCAGCCAUGCCGCGUGUAUGAAGAAGGCCUUCGGGUUGUAAAGUACUUUCAGCGGGGAGGAAGGGAGUAAAGUUAAUACCUUUGCUCAUUGACGUUACCCGCAGAAGAAGCACCGGCUAACUCCGUGCCAGCAGCCGCGGUAAUACGGAGGGUGCAAGCGUUAAUCGGAAUUACUGGGCGUAAAGCGCACGCAGGCGGUUUGUUAAGUCAGAUGUGAAAUCCCCGGGCUCAACCUGGGAACUGCAUCUGAUACUGGCAGGCUUGAGUCUCGUAGAGGGGGGUAGAAUUCCAGGUGUAGCGGUGAAAUGCGUAGAGAUCUGGAGGAAUACCGGUGGCGAAGGCG
rnacentral:rRNA from 1 species